GCCGGACUGACUGCUAUCUGAUUGGUACUAAGCCAUGCGAGUCGUUGUACAUACAUGGCGGACUGCUCAGUAACACAUAGUUAACUUAACCUAUGGAUGGGAAUAACCUCGGGAAACUGAGAAUAAUACCCAAUAGACCACAGUGCCUGGAAUGGCCUGUGGUUGAAAUGAUUUAUCGCCGUAGGAUAGGACUGCGGCCUAUCAGCUUGUUGGUGAGGUAAUGGCCCACCAAGGCUAUAACAGGUACGGGCUCUGAGAGGAGGGGCCCGGAGAUGGGUACUGAGACACGGACCCAGGCCCUAUGGGGCGCAGCAGGCGAGAAACCUUUGCAAUGUGCGAAAGCACGACAAGGUUAAUCCGAGUGUCUCCUGCUAAAGGAGUCUUUUGUCAGUUGUAGAAUCACUGGUGAAUAAGGGGUGGGCAAGUUCUGGUGUCAGCCGCCGCGGUAAAACCAGCACCUCGAGUGGUCAGGAGGUUUAUUGGGCCUAAAGCAUCCGUAGCCGGUUGCAUAAGUUUUCGGUUAAAUCUAUGCGCUUAACGUAUAGGCCGCCGAAAAUACUGUGCAGCUAGGGAGUGGGAGAGGUACACGGUACUCGAUAGGGAGGGGUAAACUCCUUUGAUCUAUGA
rnacentral:rRNA from 1 species